rnacentral:rRNA from 1 species
UACGUAGGGGGCAAGCGUUGUCCGGAUUUAUUGGGCGUAAAGAGCGUGUAGGCGGCCAGGCAGGUCCGUUGUGAAAACUCGAGGCUCAACCUCGAGAUGUCGAUGGAAACCGUCUGGCUAGAGUCCGGAAGAGGAGAGUGGAAUUCCCGGUGUAGCGGUGAAAUGCGCAGAUAUCGGGAAGAACACCCGUGGCGAAGGCGGCUCUCGUGGGACGGUACUGACGCUGAGACGCGAAAGCGUGGGAGCGAACGAGGA